AACGAACGCUGGCGGCAUGCCUAACACAUGCAAGUCGAACGAGAAUCAGGGGCUUGCUCCUGAGGAAAGUGGCGCACGGGUGAGUAACGCGUGGGUAACGCGCCCUAGGGCUGGGGAUAACUCGCCGAAAGGCGAGCUAAUACCGAAUGUGCUCCAUUUGAGUGCGCUCGAAUGGAGGAAAGCGGGGCAACCCGCACCCAAGGAUCGGCCCGCGUUCCAUCAGCUAGUUGGUGAGGUAACGGCCCACCAAGGCUACGACGGAUAGCUGGUCUGAGAGGAUGAUCAGCCACACUGGAACUGAGACACGGUCCAGACUCCUACGGGAGGCAGCAGUGGGGAAUAUUGGACAAUGGGCGAAAGCCUGAUCCAGCAAUGCCGCGUGAGUGAUGAAGGCCUUCGGGUUGUAAAGCUCUGUCAGUGGGAACGAAUAAGUCGGUUAAUACCCGGCGAUGACGGUACCCGCAAAGGAAGCACCGGCUAACUCUGUGCCAGCAGCCGCCGUAACAC
rnacentral:rRNA from 1 species